GAAACAGUCGUCUAAAUGGCAAGACACCGGCAUAGGAGCUUCGGAAUUACCUUGAUGGUCAACCGGGGCUUACUCACCUCAAGGGAGCCGGGAAUGCUGGUUCGAACCCAGCCUGUUUUU
rnacentral:tRNA from 1 species